rnacentral:rRNA from 1 species
GACGUAGGGAGCGAGCGUUGUCCGGAUUCAUUAGGGGCGUAAAGGGUCCGGUAGGCGGCUCAGCAAGUCGGGUGUGAAAUCUCCAGGCUCAACCUGGAGGGCCACCGAUACUGCUGUGGCUUGAGUCCAGUGAGGGGAGCAUGGAAUUCCCGGUGUAGCGGUGAAAUGCGCAGAUAUCGGGAGGAACGCCGGUGGCGAAAGCGGCGUACUGGAUCUCUUCUGACGCUGAGGCGCGAAAGCGUGGGGAGCAA